rnacentral:rRNA from 1 species
GUGCAGCCGCCGCGGUAAUACGUAGGGGGCAAGCGUUGUCCGGAAUUAUUGGGCGUAAAGCGCGCGCAGGCGGUUCCUUAAGUCUGGUGUGAAAGGCCACAGCUCAACUGUGGAGGGCCAUUGGAAACUGGGGAACUUGAGGACAGAAGAGGAGAGCGGAAUUCCACGUGUAGCGGUGAAAUACGUAGAUAUGUGGAGGAACACCAGUGGCGAAGGCGGCUCUCUGGUCUGUAACUGACGCUGAGGCGCGAAAGCAUGGGUAGCGAACAGGAUUAGAAACCCGCGUAGUCC